rnacentral:tRNA from 1 species
GGCCGGUUAGCUCAGUGGUUUGAGCGUGGUGCUGGCAAUAAGGAUCAACACCAAGGCCGCGGGUUCAACUCCCGCUCGGUUC